rnacentral:rRNA from 1 species
CGAAAGUCGACGUAUAGGGUGUGACGCCUGCCCGGUGCUGGAAGAUUAAAUGAUGGGGUGCAAGCUCUUGACUGAAGUCCCAGUAAACGGCGGCCGUAACUAUAACGGUCCUAAGGUAGCGAAAUUCCUUGUCGGGUAAGUUCCGACCUGCACGAAUGGCGUAACGACUUCCCCGCUGUCUCCAGCAUAGACUCAGCGAAAUUGAAUUCUCCGUGAAGAUGCGGAGUUCCCGCGGUCAGACGGAAAGACCCCGUGCACCUUUACUACAGCUUCGCACUGGCAUCAGGAUUGUGAUGUGCAGGAUAGGUGGUAGGCUUUGAAACCGUGACGCCAGUCGCGGUGGAGCCUCCCUUGAGAUACCACCCUUUGCAUUCUUGAUGUCUAACCGCGGUCCGUUAUCCGGAUCCGGGACCAUGCGUGGUGGGUAGUUUGACUGG